UGAUCGUGUCUUAUGUGAUGUUCCAUGCAGUGGUGAUGGCACUUUACGAAAGGCCCCUGAUAUAUGGAGAAGAUGGAAUGCAGGAAUGGGUAAUGGUCUACAUGGGCUACAGGUUCAGAUAGCAAUGCGAGGAAUGUCUCUGCUUAAAGUUGGUGGAAGGAUGGUUUAUUCAACUUGCUCAAUGAAUCCCAUUGAGAACGAGGCUGUGGUUGCCGAGAUAUUGAGAAGGUGUGGAGGAUCUGCUGAACUAAUUGAUGUCUCCAGUGAACUUCCUCAGCUUGUUAGAAGGCCAGGUCUGAAAAAAUGGAAGGUUCAAGAUAAAGGGGUGUGGUUGACUUCUUAUAACGAAGUUCAUAACUCUCGCAGAGCUGCCGUUGUUCCUGGAAUGUUUCCCUCUGGCAAAGGCUACGUGGAUGAACCCGAGCAUGGUGAUGAUGCAAGGAGAAGUCAAUUGCGUGAUAAGGGGAGUAAUGGCCAUUCUCAAAAUGGUGUUGGGAUGGUGCAGGAUCCUGCAACUCCUACUACAAUCUUGGACGAGGAAGCUUCAACUCUACCAUUGGAACGUAGUAUGAGGAUAGUGCCACAUGACCAGAACAGUGGAGCCUUCUUUAUUGCUGUCUUUCACAAACUUUCUCCUUUGCCAGUCACACAAAAGAAGCAUUGCUAUCAGCCUGGAAAGACAACUUCUACGGGCAAUUUCCAAGCACAAAGUUUACCUAAGAUCAAAGAUAUAAAUGCUGAUGAAGUUGAGCAAGUGGAUUCUGUAGGUACUCAACUAUCUGAAGUGAUUAUGGAUGAUGCUAAUAUUCUUGAAAAUGGAAAUGACAAAGCUACACUGGAUACUGACCCCAGUAAAUUAGUGGAAGGAAAGAGGCUGGAGCUGAUUAAACCUUCCAGUGAUGGAAAUGCUGGUCCUGAGUUGGUUAAAGGGAGUAGAAAGUUACAGAUGCGAGGAAGAUGGAGAGGGAUUGACCCAAUAUUAUUUUACCACGAGGAGACAGCAGUGGGUCAGAUAAAGGCCUUCUAUGGCAUUAAGGAAUCCUUUCCAUUCAAAGGUCAUUUGAUUGUGAGGAAUACUGAUAUCGACCAUGUGAAAAGAGUUUAUUAUGUAUCUAAAUCUGUGAAAGAAGUUCUUAAACUCAAUUUUGUAGCUGGUGAGCAGCUCAAGAUCGCUGCUGUUGGGCUCAAGAUGUUUGAGCGG
rnacentral:misc_RNA from 1 species